rnacentral:rRNA from 1 species
UACGUAGGGGGCAAGCGUUGUCCGGAAUCAUUGGGCGUAAAGCGCGCGUAGGCGGCUCGAUCAGUCUGCUGUGAAAGUCAAAGGCUCAACCUUUGAAUGCCGGUGGAUACUGUCGAGCUAGAGUCCGGAAGAGGCGAGUGGAAUUCCUGGUGUAGCGGUGGAAUGCGCAGAUAUCAGGAGGAACACCAACGGCGAAGGCAGCUCGCUGGGACGG